rnacentral:rRNA from 1 species
UACGGAGGGGGCUAGCGUUGUUCGGAAUUACUGGGCGUAAAGGGCGCGCAGGCGGCUGCUCAAGUCAGGUGUGAAAGGCCUGGGCUCAACCCGGGAAUUGCGCUUGAGACUGGGCUGGCUUGAGUGCGGGAGAGGAUGGUGGAAUUCCCAGUGUAGAGGUGAAAUUCGUAGAUAUUGGGAAGAACACCGGUGGCGAAGGCGGCCAUCUGGACCGCAACUGACGCUGAGGCGCGAAAGCGUGGGGAGCAAACAGG